rnacentral:rRNA from 2 species
GACGCUGGCGGCAGGCCUAACACAUGCAAGUCGAGCGGUAGCACAGGGAGCUUGCUCCUGGGUGACGAGCGGCGGACGGGUGAGUAAUGUCUGGGAAACUGCCUGAUGGAGGGGGAUAACUACUGGAAACGGUAGCUAAUACCGCAUAACGUCGCAAGACCAAAGAGGGGGACCUUCGGGCCUCUUGCCAUCAGAUGUGCCCAGAUGGGAUUAGCUAGUAGGUGAGGUAAUGGCUCACCUAGGCGACGAUCCCUAGCUGGUCUGAGAGGAUGACCAGCCACACUGGAACUGAGACACGGUCCAGACUCCUACGGGAAGGCAGCAGUGGGGGAAUAUUGCACAAUGGGCGCAAGCCUGAUGCAGCCAUGCCGCGUGUAUGAAGAAGGCCUUCGGGUUGUAAAGUACUUUCAGCAAGGAGGAAGCAUUGGGGUUAAUAACCACAGUGAUUGACGUACUCGCAGAAGAAGCACCCGGCUAACUCCGUGCCAGCAGCCGCGG